GACGAACGCUGGCGGCGUGCUUAACACAUGCAAGUCGAACGGAAAGGCCCUGCUUUUGUGGGGUGCUCGAGUGGCGAACGGGUGAGUAACACGUGAGUAACCUGCCCUUGACUUUGGGAUAACUUCAGGAAACUGGGGCUAAUACCGUAUAGGAGCUCCUGCUGCAUGGUGGGGGUUGGAAAGUUUCGGCGGGUGGGGAUGGACUCGCGGCUUAUCAGCUUGUUGGUGGGGUAGUGGCUUACCCAGGCUUUGACGGGUAGCCGGCCUGAGAGGGUGACCGGCCACAUUGGGACUGAGAGACGGCGCAGACUCCUACGGGAGGCAGCAGUGGGGAAUAUUGCACAAUGGGCGGAAGCCGGAUGCAGAAACGCCGCGUGCGGGAUGACGGCCUUCGGGUUGUAAACCGCUUUCGCCUGUGACGAAGCGUGAGUGACGGUAAUGGGUAAAGAAGCACCGGCUAACUACGUG
rnacentral:rRNA from 1 species